rnacentral:rRNA from 1 species
GAUGAACGCUGGCGGCGUGCCUAAUACAUGCAAGUCGAGCGAACAGACGAGGAGCUUGCUCCUCUGACGUUAGCGGCGGACGGGUGAGUAACACGUGGAUAACCUACCUCUAAGACUGGGAUAACUUCGGGAAACCGGAGCUAAUACCGGAUAAUAUAUUGAACCGCAUGGUUCAAUAGUGAAAGACGGUUUUGCUGUCACUUAUAGAUGGAUCCGCGCCGCAUUCGCUAGUUGGUAAGGUAACGGCUUACCAAGGCAACGAUGCGUAGCCGCCCUGAGAGGGAGAUCGGCCACACUGGAACUGAGACACGGUCCAGACUCCUACGGGGGGCAGCAGUAGGGAAUCUUCCGCAAUGGGCGAAAGCCUGACGGAGCAACGCCGCGUGAGUGAUGAAGGUCUUCUGAUCGUAAAACUCUGUUAUUAGGGAAGAACAAAUGUGUAAGUAACUAUGCACGUCUUGACGGUACCUAAUCAGAAAGCCACGGCUAACUACGUG